CCACAAAAAAUUAUUUCAUUUGAAAAAUGCGCGGUUUUAUCCCUAAAUUUUUCCCCUCUGAAACGCCUAAUUUUUUCCCCUAAAAUUAAUAUCCUCAAAACACCCCCCAAUCUCACCCCUCCGUUUCUCUUUUCAAUCAAGAAACUGAGAUGGCAGUCUUGAUUUGGCAUCAAAUUGCUUCAGUCUUGAUUUGGUUUCUAGUUAUACUCUAAGAUAGAAGAGAUGGCAGUGAACCAGACGGCGGCGUUGAAGGUUUUCGGCUUUUGACCCAUUCAAGGAGAAAAAUGGUGUUUGGCUAAAAGCUCUGAUCUUCUGUAAUAAAUUCACAACUGCGUUUUCAAACUCUUCAUCAAUGGGUUCCUUCCCAAGAUCUUUGAAUCCCAACAAGCACCUCAGAGAACAAUUCGUGAGCAAUUUGCCUGGAUCUUCCAUGCUUGAAGUCUCCGCUCUUUUGAAUAUGUAGCUCUUCUAAUGCUUUUGCGGCACACUUUCUGCUCUCAGACAGUGAAUGAUACUUGUAGGAGUUUAAAGUCUUACCUAGCCUCAGUAGCUUUGGAUUAUGUCUUCAUUGUUCUACCCACACUUUUAAUUUUCACUGUUCUAGCAGAGUGGGUAUACAUAUGCAUGAUUGGGUUAUUGUUCUUGUUGAUCUUCUUUACUGCAGUCAAAAGAACUUACGCUUUGCCUUACAUGGAAGGACCUAAUGCUUCAAGGGCAAGCAUAUCAUCUUAUAGGGUUGUUACGAUGUUUAUCACAUGCUUGUGUAUCUUGGCUGUUGACUUCAGAAUAUAUCCUAGAGAAUAUGCUAAGACAGAGACUUACGUGACUAGUUUGAUAGACCUUGGAGUUGGCUCCUUUGUGCUAAUGAAUGCAGUUACUUCACGGCAAGCACGAAGCACUUGCUGGAAUUUCUUUUUCACACUUGCUGGUGUAUCCAUCCUUACAUCCAUUUUAAAUGUUCCCGCAGAAUAUUCUGGAAUUCUUGGUUCAGUAAUUUUAGUUGGGUACCAAAGUUGGUUGACUAAUGGGCUAAAUGUUUAUCUUCUUUCUAAUGAAAGGGGUACGGAUGUCAUAAGCAGAAACAAGGAGGGAAUUUUUAGCUUAUUUGGUAAGGACAAUUUAGGACUGUACCUAAUGUCCCAUCCCAUUGGUGUAUGCUUUAUCAUAGUGUUUUUAUUUUUUUGCACCUACAGCUUUAUUCUUGUGUGACACCCCUAAAGUGACCCCAGUCGGAAAGUGGUUUCGGGACCACAAAACCGAGUCAUAAAAAUAAUUAACCAUUAUAGUUGAUGCUCAUUAUAUGUACAUAUGCAUGUGUGAAAAUUUCAUGUUUGAAUUUUGUUAAUUGUAAGUGAAUUUUAUCAAAUAGGACUUAUGUGAGAAAAUUUAGAAAUGUGCUAGGCAAAUUUAAAGUGGCCAAAUAAUGCGUGAGUUAUUGACAUGAGGGACUUGCAUGUCAAAUGGACCACUUUUAAUUUAGUGGCCGGCCAUGAUGAUGGUUGAUAGAUAUUAUAUGCAUUUUUUUUUUUAGCAUGAUAAUAGUUAAUGGUUUUAUAGUAUGGAAGAAAGAUUAAUUAAAAAGAAUGGAAGAGUGAUAGAAACAAGGCAUGUUCAUCCUCCUUUCCCCCCCCCAUUGCCGUACCUAAAGAGAAAAAAUGGAAGUUAAGGCAUGGGUCACCUUUAAGGAAAUAAAGGUAAGAGUGUUCAUCUUCCUUACCUUCUUGCACAGCCGAAACAAAAAAAAAGGAAAGAGGAAGGAGCUUGUCUAGGGCAUUCGGCUAUCUUGGAGGUUAAAUAAGGUAGGAGUUAAUGUUAUUUCUAUUGAUUUUUAUGAGAAUCUAGCUAGUAGUCAAGCUCUUAUUGCAACCCACAUGUUGAUUUUUCUUUAGUUUUGGUGACAAAUUGUGCAUAUGGUAUUAUGGGGUAAAUGCAAAAAAAAAGAUAGUGUUUUGAUGUUUUGGAUAGAAAUAUUAGAAAGGAGAAAAUAUGAGCUACCUAAAUAGAUAUAUGUGAAUUUAAAAGAUGGUAUGAACAAAUGUGGAGUUUUGCUAGUUUAGGAUUAUUCGGCCAAGUGUUUAUGUGGUGCAAAUUAAGUGUUAAAUGAAAUGAAAAUGAUAUUAUAUGGGGGCAUAUAUAUUCGGCCAUAUGAGUAGAUAUGAUUGGCAUGAUUUGUGUUUUGGAGAUGUGUUGUGAUGUUGAUUAUAUGAUUCAAAAAUGAGAUAUGUUAAUGAUGAAAUAUAAUCGGCCAUGGAAGUAGCUCAUUUUGGGAGUGUGAUUUGUGGUAUAUUUUUCUUUGUGGUUGAUUAUAAAAAAUUUGGCUUAAGUGAGGUAAUUGGUAAAAGAUGUGUUUAUGAUAAUACAUAUGUUCUCAUAAGCUAAGUUAUGUAUAUGUGAUAUCUUGCAUAUUGGUUGUUAUGGUAAGGUUUGAGAUAUUGACGUAUGAAUAUGUUUUGUUUGUGGUUCGCAACUAAUGGUUAAGUUGUUAAGUUACAUGCUUGAGUAGUAAAUAUGUUAAGAAUGGUUCUAAAAUGUAUAUGGAUGCCGUGUGAUUGUGUUUGAUUGGGAAGUAAAUUAUUUGAUUUAGCUCAAGAGCCUAGAGGAUCAAAGUCGGAUAAGGGAAAAGAGGAAGUAAACGGAUAGCCGUGGAUAUCUAGUCGUCGACCACUUUCGAGGUAAGUUUUAAGUGAUUAAAUGUUGAGUAAAUUCAACUAUAAUAGGAUAUAAUGAGUUGAUUUAGUAAGAUGUGAUGUGGCCAUGAUAUGUCUUAAACCCAAAUGGUAAGUUCAUAAGUGUUUGGACUUGGAAAUUUAAGAGCAAAUUGUAAUAAAUUGCUUGGACAGCAGCAGUAAUGUGAUUUUAGAAAAUCACUAUAAAUUGUUGGUAUGGAAUUAUAGGUGAAUAACAUAUGUAAUCAAAGCUUAGUUGGUCUAGUUUCUUAUAAAGGAGACCGUGGAAACAAAGAAAUUUCCUAUAAAGAGAUAUUUAAAGUUGUGUGGGACGAUUAUGAAAUGACUCAAAUCCCCUGUUCGGUUUUAAGAAAAUCACUAUAAUUUGUACAAAAUGGUUACAAGAUAAAAUUUAUAUGCUUAGACUCCUUAAUGAGUCUAGUUUCAAAUGAAAUCAAGUAGAACAUACUUUGAAUUCAUACAAUGAGAAUUUUGAUUUGUAGUGAAGAUCGGUCGUUAGUCAAACAGUGAAAUGGGAGAAACUUUAAGAAAAAUCUGGUAUUGAUUGGCCACACCUAAAAUUCGAAAAUUUCAUGGAUGAAAGAUACAUGAAUCUACAUUCGGGAAAAUUAACGGCAAUUGAUUUUGAGUUUUGUAGCUCCAUUAUAAACAAUUUAGUGACUGUUGCUUAGGAAACCGCUUGUAGUGAAUAUGUGAUUUUGUUGAAAAUUUUGAUGAAAAUAUUUGAGUUGCUUAUAAGCUAUGGCUGAAAUUGAUGUACAAGAAAAAUAUGAAAUAUGUAUGAGAUAUAUAUAUGUGAUAAGGCCUAAUGGCCGAGGUGGUGAAUGUGAAAGUGUAUGUAUAUGUGAUAAGGCCUAAUGGUAGAUGUGAUGAAUGUGAAAGUGUAUGUAUAUGUGAUAAGGCCUAAUGGCCGAUGUGAUGAAUGUGAAAGUGUAUGUAUAUGUGAUAAGGCCUAACUACCGAGGUGGUGAAUGUGAAAGUGUAUGUAUAUGUGAUAAGGCCUAACAGUAGAUGUGGUGAAUGUGAAAGUGUAUAUAUAUGUGAUAAGGCCUAAUGGCUAAUGUAAAAUAUAUGUGUGAUAUGCAUAUGUGGUAAAGCUGAAUGGCUAAUGUGAAUGGUGUAACAUGUGAUUAAAUGUACAUGAAACUUGGAAUAUGUUCCGGGUGAGACCCGAUGACUACGUGUGGAGAUUAUGACCGGGUAGGACUCGAUGACUACGUGUGGAGAUUAUGUCCGGAUCUCAUUUGAAAGCUACAGGCUCGGGGAUCGUCAAAGAACUAGUCACACUAUCACUAUCCACCGUUUGUAUCGCUAUGUUUUGGAAUAUCUUAUGGCAUGUAUAGAAUAGACUAGUAGUGAGAGGAUAUCUUGGUUAAUGUAUAGGACUACCCUGUUAGAUUAAAAAUGUGGUGAUGUAUAUGUAUACUGCCAUGCUAAAAUGGCUCGUAAAAGGAAGCAUGAACUUAGACUAUUUGUGGUUUGUAUGUAUAUAUUUGGUGUCAUGAGGUGGCUAUGGAUUGGAAAUGGGAA